UACGAGGGGGGCGAGCGUUGUUCGGAAUUAUUGGGCUUAAAGGGCGCGUAGGCGUUUGGAUAAGUCUUGUGUGAAAUCUUCGGGCUCAACUCGAAGUCUGCACGAGAAACUAUCUGGCUUGAGUGUGGGAGAGGUGAGUGGAAUUCCUGGUGUAGCGGUGAAAUGCGUAGAUAUCAGGAGGAACACCUGUGGCGAAAGCGGCUCACUGGACCACAACUGACGCUGAGGCGCGAAAGCUAGGGGAGCAAACAGG
rnacentral:rRNA from 1 species